CACCCCUGCUCUGCCUUUCUCUCCCACGACGCCUCUCCUCGUCCUCCAGUCCCCACGUUUCCCCCAACCAAGCCCGCCGCCACCACCGACGCCGACGACCUCCUCUCCCCCAACCCCACCACCGGCGCCCCCCACCACACGUGCGGAUCCUCCUCCUCGCCGUGCCCUUGUGCCGGCCCCAAACCCUAGCUAGGGGCCCCCUUCUCCGGGUGCGGCGUGGUGCGGGGAGGGCUCCCUCUUGCCCGCCCCCGAUGCAGAGGGCCCGCCGGUGGUCCUACUACUUGCUCCUCCGACCCUCCUCCUGCUGCUGCUAGUGCGGACCAACGCCAUGGAGGCCAUGUGCAAGCGGGGAAGGACAGCAUGGCGCGCCUGGUGCGCGAGCUCGAGGGCGCCGGCCUGCUCGUCGAGCGCGUCCGCGGCGUCCCCGCCGAGUUCAUCAAGGGAUUAAUUCCCACAUCUGUCUAAAGGUGUCCACCAACGUACUUAGGUGAAAAGAUUGAGUUUUUUUUUGCGCCGGUGAUGAGCUUCUAUGCGACGGAGGCUUGCGCCUGUGCUGUAUGUGAGCGACGGAGGCGUUGGAUGUGGAGCAGCGGACCUGGAGUGUGGCCCAAGCGGCGGAUCUAGAGCGACGCCGGAGUAGCAGAGCGCCGGACCAGCGGAGCGGCGUCGUCGUCCUAAUGGUGCCCCCACCUUGGUAGCGCGGGCCCUGCCCC